CAGCAAAGUCAUCAAAUCGAAAUGGCGAAUACUUUGGAUAAAGGUUGGCAAUAAUAGUUAUGUAACUUUCCAUCCCUCUCAAUUUUUUUUUUUUCUGUUUGAAGAUGGCCUCAAACAAGUUGCUAUAUU